AAGGAUGUCCUUUUUACCACUGAGCUUGUUCUAAGUUUCCUCUGGACCUCCUCUGUUGAUAAGCUAGUGGGGACUUGAGGAGUGAGGCUGGAAGUCCAGCCUCCCUGCCAACACCUCAGGGAUGAAGAUUAGCUCUUUGGAACUGAGAGAUGAGAUGAGGCCUGGAAAACUUCCCCCAGUACAGUCAAGUUCCUGUUGACUAAUUCUGUGACCACCAGUGACAGUCUUUGAGUCCGUGAGGCAGAGUUGCGGCAGCACAGGCUUUGCUUGGAGUUGGAUGGUUCGCACCCUGCUUGGCAUGGUUUCUAAGAGACAUCCUCUGAGUGGAUGAGGGGAGAAUCCAGCAGGCCUCUAGUCACACUGGACAGUUGCUCUGAUUCAUUUCUGGACUUCAGUGGAAGAAGCAGCCCUUAUUUAGGAUAUUGUUAGUCUUUGGCAGAGGGAAUACAAAGCAAUGGAAGGGUGAUGUGAUGGCUCCGAAAGCUUCUGUUGGAUGUAGAAUAUAAAGUUUGCUCACCUUUUUUAAUCCAAAGAGAAAAACAAGGAGAGAAAAAUCUAAACCCAGCAGAAGAGAAAGUUUAAGAAAGCGGUCGUCGCCAAUACCAAAAUUAGCUAUGAUAUUCAGGAAGAAAAAAAUGGAAACACGAUAACCACAGUCAAUAAAGACCAAGGCCACAUUCCAUUGACCAGAGCUCAGCCACGCGCCACACCUGGCUAAAGAGACUCUGGCUGAAGAAUUCCCUGAAUAUUUUAAUGUAGCUCUAGGUUAUAACACAGAACAACCACAAGGUGGCAGAAGAACUCCAUUCUUGUAAAUCUCUUAGUUGCUUCUUUAUUUCAUCUUCCCUAUUCCAUCUAAUGUUCCCUGAAUUUUACUAUUUUGUUGGUUUGAAAAUAUGUGUGACUUACGUCCUUUAAAGGAUUUGGUUCGUAAGGUUUUGAAUAGACUGGAAUAUAAAACAUUUAUAGAAAAGAAAAAUACCUACAGUAUGAUGUUAGUGAACUAUUAAUAAUCCAAUUAAAUAAAAUAUAUUUGCUUUGGAUUAA
rnacentral:lncRNA from 1 species